UGGGGAAUAUUGGGCAAUGGGCGAAAGCCUGACCCAGCAACGCCGCGUGAAGGAAGAAGGUUGUCGGAUUGUAAACUUCUGUCCUCAGGGAAGAAGGAAGUGACGGUACCUGAGGAGGAAGCGCCGGCUAACUACGUGCCAGCAGCCGCGGUAAUACGUAGGGGGCGAGCGUUGUCCGGAAUGAUUGGGCGUAAAGGGCGCGUAGGCGGCCGAGCAAGUCAGUAGUGGAAGUCCAAUUUUCAAGGUUGGAAGUGCUAUUGAAACUGCAGGGCUUGAGUGCAGGAGAGGUUAUCGGAAUUCCCGGUGUAGCGGUGAAGUGCGUAGAGAUCGGGAGGAACACCAGUGGCGAAGGCGGGUAACUGGACUGCAACUGACGCUGAGGCGCGAAAGCGUGGGGAGCGAACAGG
rnacentral:rRNA from 1 species